AGAAGAGCAGUUUGACUCUCUGAAAAGUAGUGAGGGCAUUGUUUAUUUGCUGGAUGGAUCGAACUGUACGAUCAGAGGCAUCGAGAUAGUUAGCUGGAAGACACAUGAUGGUGUAAUGAGGAGAUUGGAGAAGGUCUGAUACAUAUCCAAUUUCAGACAGAAUCUUAUCUCACUGAGCAAACUGAAUUCGAGAGGCUACAGGACAGUAGCUGGUGGAAGAAUCCUAAAGAUAUUAUACGACGAUAGGAUUAUUUUGGAG
rnacentral:lncRNA from 1 species